UUACAAUUAGAGUUAUUAGAGUAGGUGUUUGUAUUAGGGUUAAGAUUAUUUGAAUUAUAAUUUAUAUUAGAUUUAAAAAUUUUGAUUAGAAGAUAAUUAGGGUUAAGAUUAGGUUGGGGAUUAGGGUUAGAGUUGUGGAGUGGGGUGUGAGGAAGAAGAAAGCAAAAAAAGAAAAAAAAAAGAAAAAAAAGAGAGGAAUAGAUCAUGAAAAAAAUCGGGUUAGGAUUGUUGGAUUAGAUGAGAUAAAAAAAAAUGGUGGAAGAAAAAGGAAGAAAGGAUGGGUAGAGAGGUAUAAAUCGGGGAAGAGAGUAGAAAAGCACCAAAUAAAGAAGACAGUGAAAGAUCCCAUGGAGAAGAAAAAGAAAGAUUAAAAAAAAAAUUCAAAAAAAAGGAAGAUAAUGAGUAAUAGAUUGU
rnacentral:lncRNA from 1 species